UUUCCGUAGGUGAACCUGCGGAAGGAUCAUUGAAUCUAUCAAUACCAACCAUGUGAACCAAAACUGUCCGGAGUUGGUGCAAGGGAUUGUGCCGGAAACGGCUGCCUUUGCCCUCUCCCUCCAUUUAACCAACCACUCCAAACACAUUGUCUAAAGAAUUGAUGCAGCGGCUUGCUAGGCAAGUGCGCGCUCAACCAAAGACAACUCUCAACAACGGAUAUCUUGGCUCUC
rnacentral:misc_RNA from 1 species